AUACUAUGAAAGUUUAGAUGCGAUCACCAUAUAAAUUCAAAGAUGAAAAAUCCGGGAAGGAGGAGAGAUGACUAGAAACGAUUCGGGUGGCCGUUAUAUGUGUGGAUUAUUGUCGGAGUAGAGGACCUUAUGCAUUUCAGUGUGGAGAUCCCAGAUGGAUGCCUGGUAUUCUAUUGUUGUGUGUGCUUCUCAAAAAUCGACGGACCUGACCCCUAGGACCAUGCCCCAGAACUACCUGACA